UACGAAGGGUGCAAGCGUUACUCGGAAUUACUGGGCGUAAAGCGUGCGUAGGCGGUUUGUUAAGUCUGAUGUGAAAUCCCCGGGCUCAACCUGGGAAUGGCAUUGGAUACUGGCAGGCUAGAGUACGGUAGAGGGUAGUGGAAUUCCCGGUGUAGCAGUGAAAUGCGUAGAGAUCGGGAGGAACAUCUGUGGCGAAGGCGGCUACCUGGACCAGCACUGACGCUGAGGCACGAAAGCGUGGGGAGCAAACAGG
rnacentral:rRNA from 1 species